UGCCCUAUAGCUCAACGGUUGAGCAGCCCGCUGUUAACGGGAAGGUUAUAGGUUCGAAUCCUAUUGGGGCAGCCA
rnacentral:tRNA from 1 species